rnacentral:rRNA from 1 species
GGCGGCGUGGAUUAGGCAUGCAAGUCGAGCGAGAUCAGUUCCCUCACCUUGUGCUUUCGAUUUUCGAGAGUGCGGGGUGAGGGGACUGUGACAGCGGCGAAAGGGAGAGUAACGCGUAGUUACGUGCCCCGAGGUCCGGAAUAGCCAGCCGAAAGGCUGGGUAAUGCUGGAUAAUGUCCCCGGACCAAAGGUGUGAUUCCACCUCGGGAGCGGACUGCGUUGUACUAGCUAGUUGGUAGGGUAAUGGCCUACCAAGGCGAUGAUGCAUACCGGGCGUGAGAGCGUGGCCCGGCUCACUGGGACUGAGACACUGCCCAGACACCUACGGGUGGCUGCAGUCGAGAAUCUCCGGCAAUGAGCGCAAGCUUGACCGAGCGACGCCGCGUGCGGGAUGAAGGCCUUCGGGUUGUAAACCGCUUUCAGUGGGGAGGAAAUCGCUAGGGGUUCUCCCCUAGUGU